UAGGUUAAUUAAACUUCACGAAUUGCUAUUGUGAGAUAGGUGGUUGAAUAGCAAGUAUGUGA
rnacentral:tRNA from 1 species